UCCCCAGAUGAAGAUCAGCAAUAAUCUCUCCAGACAACAGUUUGGUCAGAUGAGGGAAAUUCCCCACCAGCCCUCAAAAACAGUCCCUCAAGAAAGCUUAGAGAAGGUUAAUUUGGGAAAUCCCCUCAGAGGCAACAGAACAGCAACGGAAAUAUACUUCUUCAGAGGAAUCUAAACAGAGAAUGUUGGUCCCUGGGGAGAAAUGCAGCUAUUGGAUGAGUGCACUCCAGCUGGGAAGAACGCUAUUUAUCUUUCAUGAUGAGGAGCUGAGAAGGGUACUAGCCAUUGGCGAACUCCCAGGAGCGAAGCAGAUGCGGUGGAGAGCAUGGAGAAUGGCACAGCUAAUUAUUACAACCUACUGCCUUCUGCAACUCCGUCAGACAUCACCAUGGACCUUUUUAUUCCCUACGUUGUUAAUAACCAUUUUUAUGCCUUCACUAUUUUCCAUUAACUUAUUGUUUGUGGCAAUAAAUUCCCUGGUCAUAAUAACAAGAUAAACAAAUAAAAAUGGCAGACAUUUUUCUGACUGGAGCAUAUUUCAUUUUUUUUUUCCUAUGACAGAAUUCACUUUUAUGUUUUUAAAUUACUUACUUCUGAGGACCCUAACCAUCCUGUCAAGCAAGAGAGAGAUGGGGAACCUUGCCUGAGGUGCCCAGGUAUUAGCUGGUUGGACCUCUGGGUAGUGCUACCAUUGUGGUUCUGUCACAAGUUUCCUCUCUACCUCUUCCCACAAUGUCCUGUCCCCACACACCCACCCAGCAUGCCUGUCUCUGAGGGCCUUUGAUCCUCAAAGUGAGCCUCAUAUUUUUGUAGCCUCAUAUGAAGAGACCAGCCAUGUGAAGGGUCUAGCCUCAUGCAAAAAUGAGAAGUUGAAAUGUUCCUUUGUUUCCACCGUGUCUGCACUCUCUGGUAUCCCUCUCCUCUGACAUUCCAUAAAGGAGGAGGAAAAGAUAGAGGGGUUGUAGGAACAUAGAAAUCUUUGUGGGAUCAUCUCUUUCUUUGGGCUUCAACCUACAUCUUCUGAUAUGCCAAGAACUUUCCAUUGUCAGGAGGAGUCAGAUAGUUCAGUGGAGUCAGAAGGUGGUCGGUCCACUGGCUUAAUGAUUUGUUACCCAAUUUGUG